AAAGGAGGGCUCACAUUUAUGAACACUGACUUAGCACCAGGCUCUGGCCAAAGGGCCUGAUAUCUAAUCCCCACUCCAACCCAGGGAGGUAGGUGCUGUCAAUCCCAUUUUACAGGUGAGAAAACUGAGUCCUGCAUCCAAGCACACCAAGUUAUUAAGUGUUGGUGUGAGCAACUAAACUUGUGUUUUGUUUUUAAAGGGAGACUAAUAACCUGGGCUGGAGGAAUAGGGAGACAUCAUGAAGGACACACUUCACCUGCUCUGGAGGCAGACUGCGAUUUACCACCUACUGUCUCUGUGACCCUGGGCAUUUUACUAGGUGUUCCUGGGUCUCCCUUUAUUUGUCUGUAAAAUAGGGUGAUAAUCCUGUCUUUCAGGGAUUGUCAAGGGGAAGAGAAUUAAAUGAGACAUAUAGAGCCCCCAGCGCUGUGUUAGGCUCAGGGCUGGAGCUCAAUCCCUUAUACCUUUUCUUUCCCCGGCGGACACUAAGCCACGCUGGUUUCCAGUGAUUACAUGCAAGGGAAUGUAGACUCCAUGCGAAUUUGGGUUUGUGUGAUUAGGUACUUUGCUCAGGCUGUGCCACUGCCCCAGAACAGACCCUGGCACACCAGAGGCACUCGGUAUAAAUGUCUCGAGUCAAGUUCUGUGUUUCUGUGAGCCUGUGAUUCUGUGAGAUGCCACUGGCAGCGGCUUCCUAAGUGCUGGUUGGGAUCAGGAGGCAUAGGGGAUCCAGGAGCGAAGGUUUGUAAGGAGGAGGGGAGAGAUGUCCCAGUCAAGCGCCCUCCAGGACCCGGCGGCAUGGCUUGUGAUGCCGGUAAUGACUCGUGCCCAGCCUGGGGGGGCAGCUCAGGAGUUGCCAGAGAUGCCAGUUGAGUGUCCUGAGUGCAGAGUCUGUGGCUUCAGCUCCACCCAGCCUCUCUCUUCCCCCUCCCGAGCUCUCCCGGCCUCUACUCUGGAACCCCCACCUGCCUGCACGGUGGCCGGGCAUAGAAAGACCCCUUCCUUGAUGCCAAGUAUCAGCAAGGCCCUCUAAGGAUGUGAAUUAUUCAUCGACAAACCCAGCACCCAUCUGUCCCCAGCCGGUGCUGCUGGCAUCUCCCUAGGCCUGGAAGCUGCCCAGGGCACCUCCGAGCCAGGCUUGCAAAGGGUUUCCUCGCAGCGAUGACACGGUGGCCCUGAGCCUUUCGCCUUAAUUGGAGAGAUGACGGGGCGAGCGCAGGAGGCUCUAAAUGGCCAGUGACUGACUUUCAAAUCGACAACUCCAGGAAAGAAAAACAGGGACCUCCUCAGAGAAGAGUUCCUCGAGAACUAAGAACAACUAGGGCUCUGCCGGCAAGAACAGAUCAAGACCAGUAACACAAAGAUGGGGGAACUCAGGAACCACAACUCUCUCCUAAGUGUGACGAAAACUGGAGGGUUUUAAGCACGCGACUGCCAUGAUUAAAUUUGCCCGUGGACGCCCGUGCAUUGCAGGGGAGACCCGCAUGGAGCAGCGUCUGCAUGUGUUCAUUGUCACUGAAGGAAACGUGCAGGGGCCGCAGGAACUUGUGACUCGGACGUUCCUGGAAUCGUCAAUUAUCAGCCUGGCAAGGAAGGAAAUAACCUGAAUGUCUGACAAUUAGGGUUUGGCUAAAUAAAUUACAUUAGGUCCACACUUUGGAAGAGUGAGCUGCAUUAAAACAAA